rnacentral:rRNA from 1 species
UACGGAGGGUGCGAGCGUUGUCCGGAAUCACUGGGCGUAAAGGGCGCGUAGGCGGCGCGGAUAGUCGGCGGUGAAAGCCCGGAGCUCAACUCCGGGUCGGCCGUCGAUACUUCCGGGCUUGAGCACUGUAGAGGCAGAUGGAAUUCCGGGUGUAGCGGUGGAAUGCGUAGAGAUCCGGAAGAACACCGGUGGCGAAGGCAGUCUGCUGGGCAGUUGCUGACGCUGAUGCGCGACAGCGUGGGGAGCAAACAGG